CACAUGCAGGUGGCCUGGACCUAGGUCUCUAAGCUGUGUGCUGGGGUGACCCUUCUCACCAGGCUGUGGUGGCCCUCCCCAGGACAAGGUGGAGGUACUGAGGCUUCCUUUUGCCCAGUGUGGGGUGGAGCUUGACUCAGCAUGCUCAUUUGAUGUUGGCUCCUUGGUUUUCCUCUUUUUUCCAGUGAAAUCCUUCUAAUGAAUUUUGCUCAUUCCUCUACUUUGUAGUUUUUUCUUCUCGAGCAGCCUGUGUCAGAAAGUAGUUUGUGGUGAGGAAAGCACUUCCUGUGUUGCUUGAUCAUCUUCAUGGUUCUCCUUUCCCCUCGGCACUGUUCAGAGGUACAACAGCCGAGAAGAGCAUUUGAAGAGCAAACUUCAGAUUUCUCUAAUUGCUCUUCACAGAAGGGGCAGCUGAAGGAGAAGCUCAUGGCAGAAGACAACGGUGCUCGGCAAAAGAACAAGAUAAAGCACAGUACUUCACCAGGGGAGGCACACUUCAGCACGAGCCAGUUAUGUGCAGCACUGAAGGCUUCUGACCUGAGCAAAGCCAACCCUCUCCAACUGGUGCUCAAACCCAUCUGGCUGCCACCAGAGAACUGGCAGCUGUGGAGAUGCAGCUUGGUGUCCCAAAUGCUCAUCUGAGCUAACCUUUACUUUGUGUUCUGCCAUAUUAAGGGGUUUGGCAGGGAAUCCUCCCGAUGCUGUGUGCAGGUGUGUGCUCACAGUAAGGACCUCUGGGGGUGUGCUGGCUUUUGUGCCAAGACCACGACCAGCAGGUUAGCACGCAGCAGCAGCAGGGGUUCGCCCCAGGCUGAAAUCUGGUGCGUGAAAUUCCUGCCCUGCUUCCCCCUCCCCUGUCUGCAGAGAGUGGCCACAUGAUGGAUUCGUACAUUGGAAUCAACCAAAGGUUUCACAGUUAACUUUUGUUGCUGCUCAUUUUUUAGGAGCCACAGGCUCCUUUAAACGCUCCCUCCCUGUAGAUCACUCUCCUGCAUUCCUUGGAGACCUCAGGCACUUAGGGAGGCGAUUUACAUGUGGCUGUUUAACACCAGC
rnacentral:lncRNA from 1 species